GACAUCCCAAUGACAUCUCCUUAAUCGGAGAGUUCCCUUCGGGGACAUUGGUGACAGGUGGUGCAUGGUUGUCGUCAGCUCGUGUCGUGAGAUGUUGGGUUAAGUCCCGCAACGAGCGCAACCCUUGUCUUUAGUUGCCAUCAUUAAGUUGGGCACUCUAGAGAGACUGCCAGGGAUAACCUGGAGGAAGGUGGGGAUGACGUCAAAUCAUCAUGCCCCUUAUGCUUAGGGCUACACACGUGCUACAAUGGGUAGUACAGAGGGUUGCCAAGCCGUAAGGUGGAGCUAAUCCCUUAAAGCUACUCUCAGUUCGGAUUGUAGGCUGAAACUCGCCUACAUGAAGCUGGAGUUACUAGUAAUCGCAGAUCAGAAUGCUGCGGUGAAUGCGUUCCCGGGUCUUGUACACACCGCCCGUCACACCACGGGAGUUGGAGACGCCCGAAGCCGAUUAUCUAACCUUUUGGAAGAAGUCGUCGAAGGUGGAAUCAAUAACUGGGGUGAAGUCGUAACAAGGUAGCCGUAUCGGAAGGUGCGGCUGGAUC
rnacentral:rRNA from 1 species